rnacentral:lncRNA from 1 species
GACUUGUUGAAUUAAUAAAACAAAACUCAGCAUGAACAGUGAAGGAAAAUGAAGAGUGCUCAGAGGGUUCUGUAUCUGUCACAUUGUUAAUUUGUGUAUUUAAAGAGUAUUUUCCUUUUACUGUUUUGUAGGGAAAAUCCAAUUGUGGGAAAAAUAUCAUAGUGUUUGAUCAACUGACGGAGAACUGGAAAAUACUCUUAUCAUCGAGUUUUUCAAUUCACCCCAUUUGUUCCAGUGUGUAAGAGCGGACAUUGGCUUUGAAGACACCUGCUCUUGCAAUGUAUUUAAUAUUUAAUGAUUGAAAUUAACUGGGGAUCCUGAUACUGAUGUGUUUAUUACUAAAGAAUUUGAAAACCAAGAUUUCCUUCAUAGCCAUGCAUCCAAAUCCAUGUCUCUGCAACUUCCUUUCAACAGAAAGGAUCUUUCUAAGGAACGUUCCCAAGAAGCUUUGUAAUAAGGGAGCACUUGCUAGCAAGAAGCCAUCUCUACUUGGAGCACUCCUGUGUCACUCACUACCAUCAGUGCCUGCCCUGUGCUGCCAACAUUGAGCUUCCAGAGAAUUCCAGCUCCUUGUCAGUUCGGAACUUUUCAUUAAGUUCAUCUGGACCUUCAAUCUUUACAAA